GUGCUCGCUUUGGCAGUACAUAUACUAAAAUCGGAACAAUACAGAGAGGAUUAGCCCCUGUACAAGGAUGACAUGCAAAUUCGUGAAGCAUUCCAUAAAAAA
rnacentral:snRNA from 1 species